rnacentral:lncRNA from 1 species
AGUGGCCACCAUCUAGACUCCAGUUCUCUUACCCCGUGUUCCAGAACCCAAACAUCCUACCCUGUGUUCCAGAACCCAAACAUUCCAUGUCUCCACAAAUAGCACAAUGUGUUACCUGAGUAGAAGUGCAGCCCAAAGCUCAGCAUCUGCCUGUGGGAGCUGGCAAAACCAAAAUACCAGAACUCCAGCACAAGCAGAGUCCUCUCACCUCUGAGAAGCCUCCUGGCUACCAGUCUUUCACACCCCAUCCCUUCAUCUCUUCAUACCAAAGGAACAGCCAAGAGAAAAAAAGACAACCGCUAUGAGAAAACCAUGCUAGAGCCAAAGACCUAAAGUCACUGGCCCACCCUGGACAAGGGCUCUUGGCCAGAGAAGCCUGGCUGAACCA